GUUCCCCCAGCCGGGGUUUCGGCAGAGGCUCGGGUCCUCACGUCCACCCUGGGACUUCCGUUAUGCAGGGCUCAGUGUCAGCCGAGGCUCGGGAAGGGGAAGUGAUUCACCGAAAGUCACCCAGCCAGCCGGUACUAUGUGAUUUCUGCCUUUGUAAUUCUCAGCUUUUACCCAAAUACUUCAGAAAAUGAACAAAUCCCAGAAG
rnacentral:lncRNA from 1 species